GAGCAUUAUAAUUCUUAUCAGUGUGCUCAAACAAGUCACUACAGUGUAACAUGAACAUUCCGAUUAUUUUAAUAAUUCUUAUAGUUGGCACUGAGGGCGCUUGCAUGGACGGAUGGGUUCAUUACGAAGACUCGUGUUACCUCAUUGGACAUACAGAUCUGUCUUUUAUAGAUGCUCAGAGAUACUGUCAGAGUCAUGGGGCGAACCUAGUCAAUUUAGAAACCCCAAA